GAUGAACGCUGGCGGCGUGCCUAACACAUGCAAGUCGAACGGAGAUUACGGACGGAAGUUUUCGGAUGGAAGCCUGUAAUUCUUAGUGGCGGACGGGUGAGUAACGCGUGGGCAACCUGCCCUAUACAGGGGGAUAGCAGCUGGAAACGGCUGGUAAGACCGCAUAAGUCGGUUAAAUCGCAUGAUUUGAUCGGGAAAUGAGCAAUCAGGUAUAGGAUGGGCCCGCGUCCGAUUAGCCAGUUGGCAGGGUAAAAGCCUACCAAAGCGACGAUCGGUAGCCGGACUGAGAGGUCGGACGGCCACAUUGGGACUGAGACACGGCCCAAACUCCUACGGGAGGCAGCAGUGGGGGAUAUUGCACAAUGGAGGAAACUCUGAUGCAGCGACGCAGCGUGAGUGAAGAAGUAUUUCGGUAUGUAAAGCUCUAUCAGCAGGGAAGAUGAUGACGGUACCUGACGAAGAAGCCCCGGCUAACUACGUG
rnacentral:rRNA from 1 species